rnacentral:rRNA from 1 species
UACGAAGGGAGCUAGCGUUACUCGGAAUAACUGGGCGUAAAGCGUAUGUAGGCGGAAUUACAAGUCAGGGGUGAAAUCCCGGGGCUCAACCCCGGAAUUGCCUUUGAAACUGUAAUUCUUGAGUAUGACAGAGGAUGGUGGAAUUUCCAGUGUAGAGGUGAAAUUCGUAGAUAUUGGAAAGAACACCGGUGGCGAAGGCGACCAUCUGGGUCAUAACUGACGCUGAGAUACGAAAGCGUGGGGAGCGAACAGG